rnacentral:tRNA from 1 species
UGGGGUGUGGCUCAGUGGCAGAGCACUUGCCUAGCAUGUGUGAGGCACUGGGUUUGAUUCUCAGAACCACAU